rnacentral:rRNA from 1 species
AGUAGCCGCGGGAAUACGUAGGGUGCAAGCGUUAAUCGGAAUUACUGGGCGUAAAGCGUGCGCAGGCGGCUAAUUGAGUCGGAUGUGAAAUCCCCGAGCUUAACUUGGGAAUUGCAUUCGAUACUGGUUAGCUAGAGUGUGGGAGAGGAUGGUAGAAUUCCAGGUGUAGCGGUGAAAUGCGUAGAGAUCUGGAGGAAUACCGAUGGCGAAGGCAGCCAUCUGGCCUAACACUGACGCUGAGGUACGAAAGCAUGGGGAGCAAACAGGAUUAGAUACCCGGGUAGUCCCUGUCUCUUAUACA